AAAUUGAAGAGUUUGAUCAUGGCUCAGAUUGAACGCUGGCGGCAGGCCUAACACAUGCAAGUCGAACGGUAACAGGAAGCAGCUUGCUGCUUAGCUGACGAGUGGCGGACGGGUGAGUAAUGUCUGGGAAACUGCCUGAUGGAGGGGGAUAACUACUGGAAACGGUGGCUAAUACCGCAUAACGUCGCAAGACCAAAGAGGGGGACCUUCGGGCCUCUUGCCAUCAGAUGUG
rnacentral:rRNA from 1 species